rnacentral:rRNA from 1 species
UACGUAGGGGGCAAGCGUUGUCCGGAAUCAUUGGGCGUAAAGCGCGUGUAGGCGGCCCGGUAAGUCCGCUGUGAAAGUCGGGGGCUCAACCCUCGGAUGCCGGUGGAUACUGUCGGGCUAGAGUGCGGGAGAGGCGAGUGGAAUUCCUGGUGUAGCGGUGAAAUGCGCAGAUAUCGGGAGGAACACCAGUGGCGAAGGCGACUACCUGGCCUGUUCUUGACGCUGAGGCGCGAAAGCUAGGGGAGCAAACGGG